GGACCGGAAAGUGGGGGGGCGCCUGGGUCAGGCCUAACGGGUUGUCUUUGACUACAGUGAUUACAAAUCUCUACAGAAGUAUACACAUUGGUAUAAAUUGCUGCAGCCCCUUUGGGAAACUAUUUGCAUGAUCAUUGCACUUAAAAAUACACCAUACUGCUGCGCAAGUUCAAGGACCCGAGUUCGAUCCCCGGUACAAAAAAAACAAAAAAUAAAAAUACACCAUAAACUAGCGCUGUGGCAAUAGCCUGUAGACUCAGCUACUCUGGAAGCUGAGGCAGGAGGAGGCUUGAGUGCAAGCAUUGGAGGACAACCUCACAAUUGGAGGCAACAUAUCAAGAUCUUGUCUCAGAGGGGAGAAAAAGCACUGGACUAACUGCCUGUCUUCUACAAGUUAUUCCUGUUCCCAGAAGAGAGUGAACAAAAAGAAGCCACCUUGUACUACCAAGAAAACACAGUCAUGUCCCUGCUGGCCUCUUUCUUGUACGCUGAACACCUGUGAGAGAACCUAGAGACCCUGGAUGGUUUGACUACCUCAGUCACCAGCUACUUUGUGUGCAUCUGUGUAUCUGUGUGUGUAUGAUCCUGGCCACACAGCAUGCAGAUGGAGUCCAUGCUGUUGCACAAGACUAAGCAAGGAAUGGCUCCUAGCUAUGUUCAAGCCCCUCUUUUUCCCCGAGGGAGGGAAAUUCAUAGCAGCUGCUGCCUGUGAUGAUGCUGAAGUAGACCAAUUCAGUACAAAGACACAUGAAAAACCAGAUUUGCAAGUUGUGAAGGAAGUAAAAAAUGAAUCAUCAGAAUCCUCAUCCAUGGAUGAUGAAGAUAGUCCAUUAUGAUAAAAUACAUGUUUUCAUAACAGAAGAGUGGUGUGGAUGGAUGAUGAUGAUGAUAACUUUGACAUUGGCCAUGUGAGCCGAAGUUCCUGAGACAGUGAAAUGGAGCAAAAAUCAACUGAUACAGACAAAGGAAUGGAGACUUCCUUGAUUCAGAUGAGGAAGAAAACAGCAAUGGACCAAUGCAAAAAAAUUGUGGAGAACACUGGUGAACUGACAGGUGAACAGGCAGGGGCACCAUCCCAAAGACCUACUCUGACAACAGGAAAACCAAAAAGAUGUCAGCUGUGCCCUACAAGAAAGGACAAGAAAACAAAACAUACAUGGUCUCAGUAUAAGUGAGACAUGUGCAUGAAACAUGCAGUUGUUACAUGUGAAGACUGCCUUGUGUGUGACAAUUGAAGCAAAGCUUAUUUUUGCUGUAGAGUUCUAUUGGUAUUUUCAUUGUAGUUCAUAUAGAAAUUUCUUUCUUUUUUU